AGCCCUGGGGAAAUGAGAGCCAGGCUCCUGGGGAGCGCAGUUCCCCUUCCUGUGGGCUGAGGAUGAGACAAUCCCAUAACAAGAAGGACCCAGCCUCCGAGCGGCCACACCCUGUGUGUCUCUGUCCUGCCAGCACCGAGGGCUCAUCCAUCUGCAGAGCCCGGGGUCACUGGGAGGAGACGCCAUGACCCCCGCCCUCACAGCCCUGCUCUGCCUCGGGCUGAGUCUGGGCCCCAGGACCUGCGUGCAGGCAGAGCCCCUCCCCAAACCCGCCCUCUGGGCUGAGCCAGGCUCUGUGAUCAUCCGGGCGAGCCCCGUGACCAUCUGGUGUCGGGGGACCCUGGAAGCUCAGGAGUACCGACUGGAUAAAGAGGGAAGCACAGAGCCCUGGGACAGACAGAAACCACUGGAACCCAAGAACAAGGCCAGAUUCUCCAUCCCAUCCAUGACAGAGCACCAUGCAGGGAGAUACCGCUGUUACUACAUCAGCCCUGCAGGCUGGUCAGAGUACAGCGACCCCCUGGAGCUGGUGGUGACAGGAGCCUACAGCAAACCCACCCUCUCAGCCCUGCCCAGCCCUGUGGUGGCCUCAGGAGGGAACGUGACCCUCCGAUGUGGCUCACCCGAGGGAUAUCAGCAUUUUGUUCUGAUUGAGGAAGGAGAACACAGGCUCCCCCGGACCCUGGACUCACAGCAGCUCCACAGUGGGUGGUUCCAGGCCCUGUUCCCUGUGGGCCCCGUGAUCCCCAGCCACAGGUGGACGUUCAGAUGCUAUUACUAUUAUAGGAACACCGCCCAGGUGUGGUCCCACCCCAGUGACCUCCUGGAGAUUCUGGCCUCAGGCGUGUCUAGGAAGCCCUCCCUCCUGACCCUGCAGGGCCCCAUCGUGGCCCCUGGAGAGAACUUGAUCCUCCAGUGUGGCUCUAAUGUUGGCUACGACAGAUUUGCUCUGUACAAGGAGGGGGACCAUGACUUCCUCCAGCGCCCUGGUCAGCAGCUCCAGGCUGGGCUCUCCCAGGCCAACUUCACCCUGGGCCCUGUGAGUCACUCCCAUGGGGGCCAGUACAGAUGCUACGGUGCACACAACCUCUCCUCCGAGUGGUCGGCCCCCAGUGACCCCCUGGACAUCCUGAUCUCAAGACAGAUCUAUGAUGUGGUCUCCCUCUCGGUGCAGCCGGGCCCCACAGUGGCUUCAGGAGAGAACGUGACCCUGCUGUGUCAGUCAUGGAGACAGUUCCACACUUUCUUUCUGACCAAGGAGGGGGCAGCCCAUCCCCCGCUGCGUCUGAGAUCAGAGCACCAAGCUCAGCAGUACCAGGCUGAAUUCCCCAUGACUCCUGUGACAUCAGCCCAUGGGGGGACCUACAGGUGCUAUGGCUCACUCAGCUACAACCCCCACCUGCUGUCUUUCCCCAGUGACCCCCUGGAGCUCGUGGUCUCAGGACUCUCUGGAGGCUCCAGCCCCCCACCCACAGGGCCACCCUCCACCCCUGGUGAGUCACUGAGGCCUCUUGGGGAGCGCGGCCUCCCCCAGGGCAGUCUGAGUCUCCCGAAGGAUCCCAUUCCCCUCCCCUCAAGGACAGGCUUGUGUUCCAGGGACUCUGAGGCUGGGCUGGUGAGGAGUGGGGCGUUCAAUGCAGAGGGAGACGUUGGGGCCCAGCCUGGGGAAGGAGGAGCCAGGCUGAUAUGGGGGGCAGGGCAGCCCCAGCCCUCACCUCCCUGUUCUGACCCAGAAGGCCCUGAGGACCAGUCCCUCAACCCCUCAGGGUCAGGCCCCCAGAGUGGUGAGUGGGGGCUCUGAGAGGAAGGUGGACGGGGUCCAGGGAAGGCAGAGGUGGGUUCUGUCCUAGGUUCAGGCCCCUCUGGAGAUGGUGACGUGGACAGGCCCCUCCCCUGCCUGGGCCUCAGUUUCUCCAAAUGUAAAGGAGAGAGGCCUGCAGGUGGGAACGUUCCUUUCAGCUCUGACUCCCAGCUGUGACCUCCUGGGAGAGGAGGCCUCUCAGGGAAACCUCCCAGGACCCGAUCCCGCAGGGGCCCGUCCUGUCCCACCUGCAGCAGUGACAGUGACCUGGGGCAGGGGAGGGGAGCAGCGCCGUGGUUCAGGACGGUCAGGCUCUUUCCCUGCAUCUCUGGGGCUCAGCUCUGGUGCUGGGAAUAAGGGCUGCAGGUCAGACUCCCGGGUUCCCUUCCCAGCUCUGCCGCUUCCUGGCUGGGGCUCCUGGGGCAGGCGAUUCCCCUCUCUGAGCCUCAGUUUUCCAUCUGUGAAAUGGGUUGUGGGGGCGGCAAUUCCAUGUUGCACAACUGCUUGUAAGGGUUGGAGGUCUUGAAGGAAAGACCCGGCUCGCGCCUGCACACAGUAGGUGCUCACAUCAAUGACGUCAUUCCCACUCCUGACGUUAUCAUGCUCAAGGUCUGGGAAGAUACCUGGAGGCUUUGAUUGGGGUCUCGGCGGCCUUCGUCCUGCUGUUCUUCCUCCUCCUCUGCCUCCUCCUCCGACGUCAACGUCAGAGUAAACACAAGAUAUCGGGGCUGAGACUCUGUCCAUC